rnacentral:rRNA from 1 species
AACGAACGCUGGCGGCAUGCCUAACACAUGUAAGUCGAACGAUCCCUUCGGGGAUAGUGGCGCACGGGUGCGUAACGCGUGGGAACCUGCCCUUAGGUUCGGAAUAACUCAGAGAAAUUUGAGCUAAUACCGGAUAAUGUCUUCGGACCAAAGAUUUAUCGCCUUUGGAUGGGCCCGCGUUGGAUUAGCUAGUUGGUGGGGUAAAGGCCUACCAAGGCGACGAUCCAUAGCUGGUCUGAGAGGAUGAUCAGCCACACUGGGACUGAGACACGGCCCAGACUCCUACGGGAGGCAGCAGUGGGGAAUAUUGGACAAUGGGCGAAAGCCUGAUCCAGCAAUGCCGCGUGAGUGAUGAAGGCCUUAGGGUUGUAAAGCUCUUUUACCCGGGAUGAUAAUGACAGUACCGGGAGAAUAAGCCCCGGCUAACUCCGUG